ACUGAUCUGUUUCUUUGCUCUCUCCAUCAUAUGAUACAAGAACCCCAUCUGGGGGUAUCUUUCGCUAUCCACAAUGCGAAGUAUCUUAUAUAACGGCUUGAUAACCUUCACUAUCUUAUCAGCCCAUUGCCAAAAUGACUAACUCAUCAUCAAGUUCUCCACAUGACUUUCCUCAGUGCUAACCCUCAUAUAUCUACUCUCCUACCACUCAACACUGACAAACAUCUCACGUAAUACUACUUUCUUCUCCGAGGGCUAUCAAGUGCUAUGUGGUUUAUAGCAAACCGUGUGACAUCUGAUCUCAAGAUCUCUCCUAAUAUACGUUAACAUCAAUAAUAAAACCCAUGUAUGAUUGUAGAUGAAUCUAGAAAUAGUCUGGGCUGAGUCCACUACCUGCUGCACCCUACGAAGCUUUUCAAUAUCCAUAAAAAUGAGGUUAAUGCAUUAUGUAGCACAUGAGAUCUAGUAACUAUUUGGUCACCACUCCAUCAGCAACUCUCCGGUGGCCUUAUAUUAUAGUCUAUAUCUAUAAUGAUGUACAUGAUAUUUCGCUCUCCUACUGAAUCAAUCACCUCCUCCAUCAGUCCAAAGAUAUAUGCGGCAUCGUGUACCUUAUCUGAAGUAUCAAUUGACUUAUGAAAAAAUAUUUCUCUAUCAUAAUAUGUCAAAAAAUUGAUGAUGCUCCUCCGCUUGAUAGGACCGAUCCAACCAUCACACAUCACCGUCAAUCUAUAUGUGGGCCAUUUAUUCUUGCAAAACAAAUCCAUCUUUGCAGCUCUUUGAUACUAUCAAGAAGCUGACCGUAGAUGUUCCCAGGUACUGGCAGAUCUACACUUGGCCCGACAGUCUAUAUGGCUGAAAUGGUAGAUCAAUAGUAAGUAUUGCUUGCUACAUUCGCUAAAAUGUAGUCAAAAUAAAACCAUGAUCCAAUAGCUCACCACAUAUCCUUCUUCUUAUCUUUUUUCAACAUACCGUCAAUCCUCUACCACUUUGAAUCUUUACUGAAAAAAGCCUAUGAAUCCAAAUCAUGGAUGGUGGCACCUACUGAAAUAUCUCUAGAUGACCUCCUCCUACUCUCAUAAGCCCCUAGCAUAGAUGAAAUACCGUGCCUACCCAUGGAAUGCUGUACCGAGUUGAACGACCCAUACGAGGUUUACCGAACUGAAUCGGAGGCCAGCCAAUUUGGUUCGGGUUUUUUUUCAAAAAAUCCUUCGAAUUGCAUCGAAUC
rnacentral:lncRNA from 1 species